GGACGACGCUGGCGGCGUGCCUAACACAUGCAAGUCGAGCGGAGGAUGCGGCGUAAUAAUACAAAGUAUCUUUAGCGGCGGACGGGUGAGUAACACGUGGGUAACCUGCCUCAGAGUGGGGGAUAGCCUUUCGAAAGGAAGAUUAAUACCGCAUAAGAUUGUAGCGUCACAUGGCGCAGCAAGAAAAGGAGCAAUCCGCUUUGAGAUGGACCCGCGGCGCAUUAGCUAGUUGGUGAGGUAACGGCUCACCAAGGCCACGAUGCGUAGCCGACCUGAGAGGGUGAUCGGCUACAUUGGAACUGAGACACGGUCCAGACUCCUACGGGAGGCAGCAGUGGGGAAUAUUGCACAAUGGGCGAAAGCCUGAUGCAGCAACGCCGCGUGAGUGAUGAAGGCCUUCGGGUCGUAAAGCUCUUUGAUCAGGGAUGAUAAUGACAGUACCUGAAAAACAAGCCACGGCUAACUACGUG
rnacentral:rRNA from 1 species